GGCUCGAGGACGAACGCUGGCGGCGUGCUUAACACAUGCAAAGUCGAACGAGAAUCUAAUGAUGGAGUUUCGGACAACUGAUUUAGAGGACAGUGGCGGACUGGUGAGUAACGCGUGAGGAACCUGCCUUUCAGAGGGGGACAACAGUUGGAAACGACUGCUAAUACCGCAUGACACAUCGAUGGGGCAUCCCGUUGAUGUCAAAGAUUUAUCGCUGAAAGAUGGCCUCGCGUCUGAUUAGAUAGUUGGCGGGGUAACGGCCCACCAAGUCGACGAUCAGUAGCCGGACUGAGAGGUUGACCGGCCACAUUGGGACUGAGAUACGGCCCAGACUCCUACGGGAGGCAGCAGUGGGGAAUAUUGGGCAAUGGACGCAAGUCUGACCCAGCAACGCCGCGUGAAGGAAGAAGGCUUUCGGGUUGUAAACUUCUUUUAAGGGGGAAGAGCAGAAGACGGUACCCCUUGAAUAAGCCACGGCUAACUACGUG
rnacentral:rRNA from 1 species